UACGAAGGGGGCUAGCGUUGCUCGGAAUCACUGGGCGUAAAGCGCACGUAGGCGGAUCUUUAAGUCAGGGGUGAAAUCCCAAGGCUCAACCUUGGAACUGCCUUUGAUACUGGCUGUCUUGAGUUCGGGAGAGGUGAGUGGAAUGCCGAGUGUAGAGGUGAAAUUCGUAGAUAUUCGGCGGAACACCAGUGGCGAAGGCGACUCACUGGCCCGAUACUGACGCUGAGGCGCGAAAGCGUGGGGAGCAAACAGG
rnacentral:rRNA from 1 species